GUUUUCAAAGUGUUUAACUUUUAAGAUAUUAUACCCUUUUUUCUUUCAUUUUCUUCCUUUAUGAAUCUACUAUUUUUAAUGCUUAGAUCGUUCUUGAAACCUUAUUACCAUUUUUAUCCUCAACCUGGUAACCUAUCUUCCAAACCUAGACUCUUUUGCUCAUACCUACAGGAUUAUCAUCGUCGACACAUUAAUCCUUAAAAUGCUCUCCAUGGCAAAUGGGAAACUGGUCAGUUGGAUUACCCUACGAUUCUUUUUUGGUCUUUCUGGGUCAGCAGUUAUUUUUCCAAGGUUCUGAGGAAUGAUAAUCAUGGUUUUAAAGCAUCAAGUAUUAUCUAAUACAUUAGUUCAUAGUCUACUCAUAUCAGAAAAUCAUGCAAGAAAAACGGGUAUGUUCUCUUUUUCUUUUUACUUGUUCUGCUUUUCUUUUGUUAUUUUCUAUAGAUUUUUUGUUUCAAAAAUGGGUUUAGGUUGAUUUUGUUUCAAUCUCUUUGCUGUUUUUUUCCUAUAGGCUCCAAUGCUGAUGGUUUAUAAAUUAGUACAUUAUUCUUUGUUCCUUUCAAGAGCUAAAUUUUGCAUUAUUUCCCAACAUUUAUGGUCACUCUAGUUAAAACUAAAAUCGAGUCAACCCUACCAAAGUCAGCCUUUCCUAUCAUCCAAUAACCAAGAGCAAAUUGAAAUGGAUAACCUUAUCCAACUUUUAACAGAAACUUAGAAGUAACAAAAUCUUUACAAAAAUCUGUAAAACUUCCCAAAGAUGAACAAAUAAUAUGCAAUUUACCCUUUUUUUUUGAAACUUCUCAACUUUCAACGAAUUCUUAUUCAAAGAACAGCCCAAAAAAAGUCGUGGAUUCCAAGAAACCCCAAAAUUGUAAAGAUCCAAGCUACUAGUUACAAGCAAUAACAAGAUAUGAAAUUGUAGCUCAUUUUGCAGCAAACUCAACACAGUUCAUAUUCAGACAAGAAAAAAAGAGAGAAGAAAGUGGGCAUACCUGGAAACACUUGAUCUUGCUUACUUCAGUUUUGUAGCAG
rnacentral:lncRNA from 1 species